rnacentral:rRNA from 1 species
UACGAAGGUGGCGAGCGUUGUUCGGAAUCACUGGGCAUAAAGGGCCCGUAGGCGGCGAUUUAAGUCGGUUGUGAAAGACCUCGGCUUACCCGGGGGAACGCAACCGAAACUGGAUUGCUGGAGCACGGCAGGGGAGGGUGGAAUUCCAGGUGGAGCGGUGAAAUGCGUAGAUAUCUGGAGGAACACCGGUGGCGAAAGCGACCCUCUGGGCCGUAGCUGACGCUGAGGGGCGAAAGCUAGGGGAGCAAACAGG